GAUAUAAAUAUGUUUGCUUUCUAGAUAUUGACGAGUGUUUGCAACCGAAUAUUUGUCCAGCUAAUUCAAAUUGUACCAACUUUCCUGGAUUAUACAAUUGUGUGUGCCACCCAGGAUAUGGAGGCGCAGCUUGCAAUGGUACAGUUCAUUAAUUCUCGUUUUAAAUACUAGUUAAAAUAUGAACAGCUGAUCUUCAUGGGCGUUUAAAUUCCCACUGAGAUCAGAUGCAAAUAUUUUAACGUAGCCUACUUGUAAAAUGAAUUUAUUUGUUUACUUUAUUAGCAUUCACUACCCAUUGGGACAAUCUCACGCUUCAUUAGCAUGCAUAAACAAGCACGGAAUGUUUUUCCAGUCAUGCACUGUAUAACCUGAAGUUCAAGCCCUAAUUUUAAUUAGGGCCUGAGUUUCAGGUUAUGUCUCUGCGUAAAGCACAUUUUAAAAUUUUAUUUGCAGUAUGUUUAAACAGGAUAUUAAUUUUAAUUAGAACAACUGUUACGAAACGAGACCUAAUGAGACCAAAUAAUUUGACCAUUUCACUGAGAAGAAAUUAGCUAUUCUUGUAUUUCUGGCUACACAGGAGAUGGAACAAGUUGUGAAAGUUAGUUUUCAUUAAAAUAGUUACAUUCUUCGCGACUGCAUGGUUAUGCUAUAAUAGGAUGGUACAGAAACUUACAUUCGAAAAUUCCAAAUAGAAAAAAUCCCCAGCAAACACCAGCAGCUCAUGUCUUGGCUUUAUGGCGCUUAUAUAUUAUGCAGUACAGGGCGCUUAUAUAAUGGGCAGUGCAACGCGCUGAUGUUGCGCUGAUCGAUGUGUGAUGCGGAAAAAGACUGGCACGAGCGUUCUUUUCGUCAAAAGUUCACAAGGAACGUGAUUUUUACUUCUGCUGCAUAAUUAUGCGCUGUUUUUUCAUUAACUACGAAAUUCUUGAGGAUCUUUUUGCACUGUAACUACGAAGUAGUGCUUGAUUAGCCUAUAUAGUUGAACUUUAAAUUAAAUAAGUAUUGAGGAUAAUGGCUCGUACUUUUGAUAACUUCAACGAAGGGAAAUUUUCAGAACGGCAUUUGGGCAUGUUAUCAAGUCGUCCAAACUUCGAAAUUCAGUUGAUGAUAAAAAUUAUAAUUAUGUGCUUUUCUCCAAAAUUUUCCACAAAAUUCGGAGUUGAGCGUACGUUUGAAUACAUAGCGUUGGAAAGUGAGGUACUUUUGCGGGUUAAAUUUUGCCUCGUUAGACCACUUCGCUGCAACAUAGGUAAACAACAAUUAUAUUUUGGCCCUGUCAUGAUUUUUUGUUAUCCCCGAACCAACGGUGCGGAGCGCCGUUCCGACAUUAGGCUGGGGCGAGGGUUCUAAUUCCGCACGGCUAUUUACCCCCUGGGAAAGAAACACAUUAGCGAAGUCUAAAGUUCAUCAAAAAUCGUGGGCGCAUGACUGUGGUUUACCAUUCAUGGGUGGUUAUCCUCACUGUAUCACAUGUCUCAAAAUAUAGCGGACUGCCUUGAAUAGCAAACACUGGUAGGUCAAAUUUAAAAUUUGCAUUAUAACGACUGCAUGACGACAGCGAAAUAACAAACAUUUCUUGCAAACAUAAAUAUAUUUCAAUUUUGCAAAAUUUUGUAAAAUUGUUUGUAAAUUUGCAAAUUAAGUUUUUUGAGCCAAAACCAAAAGACUUGCUAAAUGAAGGAAACAAAGACACCGACAUUAAUGAAGGUAAGUUUGUUUUAAAUAUUGAUGUAUUGCUUGCUAUAUAAUUGCUUUCAAAACUGAUCGUUGCCUAUAAAUAAAAAUAUAAUUUCAAUGCAUAUUUAUUGAUUACCUUUUUUGUUAUCUCAAUAUUUUUAAUAAUGAGGAGUGCAAAGUUAUUUCCAUGCAUGCGAGAAAUCAUUUUAUUUCAAACUCCAAGAUUGUCGAUAAAAGUCAGUAAGAACAUUUUAAAACAAUUUGCAAAGCGUUAAUUUGUGGUUCAAGCAAUGGGUAACAAAUAUAUACAUUCGAAUUAAAUGUGAACAGAUGAAAAUUUGAAUUUGAAAAGUGAACUUUACUUUUUUACCUGUUUCAGAUAUCGACGAAUGCCAGGAAAACACGCAUAAUUGUCAUAACAAUGCCACGUGUUCAAAUAAUGAAGGAAGUUUCGACUGCCAAUGUAUCCAGGGUUACACAGGUGAUGGUACAGAUUGUACCGGUAAGUUUUAUAUAAUACCAAAAUA
rnacentral:lncRNA from 1 species